CACACUCCUCCAACUACUUCAGGGAUCCCGCCUCAAAACAUUUCAAGAUCUCCAAUCCGAAUUCCACAUCCCUAACAUAGCACACUUUUCCUAUCUCUAACUGAAAUCUUGCGUCACGCCACAAUUGUCACCACACACGAUAACCCCGCUAGGGCCCCACCUUCCCCUCAACGAAAGCCACAAUGGCAGCACUAAACCCAUCAGAGAACAUCCCCAUUGCCACAACCUGCACUGAAAAGACAACGAACCACCUCCCACAGACUCAGCAGCCCCUCAGGCCACAGGCUAAACGGGCCCCACCAGGUCACCUUAGACCCCCACUAAGCCACACGACACAACAUCUAAGCACCCGCCAUCUGGGGCACCUGAGGAGGUCCAAAACUAUGCCUGAGGGCUACUUGCUCUGUAAUGGGUGUUGCCCCCCACAGCCACUCCUCACUGUUCCCCCCCCCUUCUCCCGCAUAGGUUAGCUCAUUGCACCAUAUACCAG